AUCGUCUAAUUCUCAACCAUCUUACUUAAAAUUAAAGGGUCAUUAGUUUUAAAUAAGUAAAGAGA
rnacentral:tRNA from 1 species